CAGAGUAAUCGGAUAAUUGCGCAGAAAUGUGAGGAAAGUCCGUGCAUUCAAGGACAGACUGCCAGAGAAACUCUGGACGGCGUGAGUCGGUGGAAAGUGCCACAGAAAUUAUACUGCCAAUGGAUUUAUAUCACAGGCGAUGGUGCAACGGUGAGUUAAGAGCUUCACCAGCAAUAACGAGAGUUAUUGGCUAGGUAAACCCCAGUCGAAUGCAAGAUUAACUUGAAGGUUAUAAAGGCUGUCCGCCAACUUCAGACAAAUCGCUAGAGUUUGUGAGCAAUCACAUUCCCAGACAGAUGAUUAUCUAAAACAGAACACGGCUUAUGGGUUACUCUGUAUU
rnacentral:RNase_P_RNA from 1 species